CAGUAAAUGGUGAUGAUGGUGCAGCUCCUGUGUGGACAUGCUCUGUUACAACAACACAACACCGAGCCAGAAGACGAAGCCGUAACAUAAGCAGCAGUUGCUGUUGAAUGACCGUGCUGACCUCCAAGCUGAGCUAUGGCAAGGCAGUGAACACAUCAGUGGUUUUGGACCAACCAGCUCUCCAGCUGCAUCACUGAAUCGGUGGAACUGCACAAACUACAAGUCUGCUGUGCCUCAUGCAUACUCCCGGCCGACCACAGUGCAAGAUUUAACUACUUAUAACAAGGGACAACAUGGCAUCCCCCACAUCCUU